GAAAUUCUCGCCAAAUUCUUGCUCUUCAUACUCAAAGUCUUCACUUGAUGGCGGGUGCCAUUGUGAAAUGUUUAGAUCCGGGGUUCCUGACAAUCAAAAAACAACUUAAUAAAGUGAUUAGAUGAGGAGGUGGAAAGAGACUUGUUAGCUUCAACCUUUUGGGGUCAACAAUUUUCAUCGUUCGUGGGAAAUAAUACGAUUUUCACAAUACAAACUACUAGAAAAAGCAUUUGGAAUUGAGAGUUUUCUAAAAAAAUUCCACAAGGUUGAGUGAACUCAAUGAGAGGAGUAUUAAGAAUAAGGCAGAAAUACAAAGGGCGAUGAGAAAUUCUAAAAAUUAAAAGCAUCUCCUCAAUCCUGAAAAUUUGUCCAAUCGAAGCUAUAAAAACACAAUAGGCGCAGAGAUCCUAUAGUGGGCAAACAAUAACCCUUCUUUAAUGCCUUUAUGAGAUAGGGCUUAUCCACAGGUAUGGUUUCCAUAGACUUCUUCAUAUCCCCCUCAUGAUUUAAGCAGAUUAAUCCACAGUUAUACAUUGUAGAGUAAGUCAUUAUGAAGAAAGAUUUACCAGCUUACAGCAGAGCUUGCAGGCUCCUUUCUUGUCCUCAGGGAGUUUAUGUUCCUUUAAAUAGGUGGUGAUCUCCUUCAUCCACGGAGAGGGUUCGCCAACCCAUAUUGCUACCUCCUCCGCUGGGUUUUUCUAGAUUAGUGAGCUUGUGAAAUUGCUCGAUAGUGACCAGUCCCGUAAAUUCAGAGUCCCCGAUAGCUUCAGUAAUCAUUUUUAGCCUUGGUAUCUGUAUGAGUUCAAACUUUUCAAAAUAUUUGGCGAGUCAAUGACCAAUUUUAAGUAUGUCGCCGUCAUAUUCUCUCAAGCAUUGAAGUUCCUGUUGAUUUGCCUCACCAGCAGUUGUGAGUCGUUGUAUACUUGGAAUCUUUUUAAGCAACUUUCCUUUACCAGUCCCAGACCUAUCAACUUUGCUUUGUAUUCUGCAACAUUAUUUGAGUAUUUGAAAUCAAAUCUAAGUGUACAGUUAAAAUUAUGCCCUUCAAGACUAACAAGCUGCUUGCGCCUGCCCAGGUUUGUCAGAAGAUCCAUUAACUUAACUUUUCUAGUUUGAAAAGAUAUAAUAAUGAACUAUUGGUUUUAAGCCAUUUCAGACUACUAACAAUAAUUUGAAAAGUUUUUUUUUUUUUUUCCUUCACUUUAAAUCCAAAAAAAAUUCUCUCACUUAUGUUCAGUAUUGAUUAAAAGAGGGAAAAGCUCAUUUUAGAAUAAAUGUUUCAAAUAACUUUAUGAAACUACAUCGGCUUGCGAGUGGAAAUUGCACCUAGAAGGUAUGCAAACUCUGCAGAAAGACUACAAGGGCCUGGCCUUCGAUCAAGGAUUGAGACUUCAAGUUAAUCAGCCUGAUGUGUCAUGUUUUUUUAAGGCUAAUCUUAGAGGAUCAUUGUAAGUACGUUGAUGUUAUGUGUCUGGAAAUGGGUGCACAGCUUUUGAACGUGAGAGUAAGGGAUAAAGCAAGCUUAUCCCUGUUUGGGUACCCAGUCUCCGUAUUCUUUAUGGUCAGUCUCAAGUAAUUUACAUGUAACGGCUACGAAUUAAGUUCUUUAAC
rnacentral:lncRNA from 1 species